AUUGAACGCUGGCGGAAUGCUUUACACAUGCAAGUCGAACGGCAGCACGGACUUCGGUCUGGUGGCGAGUGGCGAACGGGUGAGUAAUACAUCGGAACGUGCCCAGUCGUGGGGGAUAACGUAGCGAAAGUUACGCUAAUACCGCAUACGAUCUCUGGAUGAAAGCGGGGGACCGCAAGGCCUCGCGCGAUUGGAGCGGCCGAUGUCAGAUUAGGUAGUUGGUGGGGUAAAGGCCUACCAAGCCGACGAUCUGUAGCUGGUCUGAGAGGACGACCAGCCACACUGGGACUGAAACACGGCCCAGACUCCUACGGGAGGCAGCAGUGGGGAAUUUUGGACAAUGGGCGCAAGCCUGAUCCAGCCAUUCCGCGUGCAGGAUGAAGGCCCUCGGGUUGUAAACUGCUUUUGUACGGAACGAAACGGCGACCUCUAAUACAGGUUGCUAAUGACGGUACUGUAAGAAUAAGCACCGGCUAACUACGUGCCAGCAGCCGCCGUAA
rnacentral:rRNA from 1 species